rnacentral:sRNA from 1 species
AAAAUGCAUUUCGAUUUUCAAAUUCAAGCUCAGCUCUCGAUUCGCUCAAUGUAUUCCUGAGUAAAGAGGCCCCCGGUAGCCUCGGCGUCCCCCUUUGGAGCUGCAGCUGCUAACCCGCAGUUGUGUUUUGUUGUGUUGCCCAAAACUGUCAACAUUUGCAGCCGGUCAGGCUGGCAGGCCUGGCUGUCCAGUGCAAACGUUAUGAUAAUCACCGACAACGAUGCGGCGUCAGCAUCGGCCGAGGGACCAAUGGGAUAACGGCACAGCGAACUUCAUCUGGUGCGGGUUCAGAUACGCACACAUGAACGCACGAGCGCAAGGACGAGCGCUGGACGCAGGACAUCAGUCUGAUGCUGAUGACCACAGUGAAACCAUCCGGCCUGUCCACAAACUGUCCAAAUAUGUGUUGGUUUUGUUGCCGUUCGCACAGUGCCAAGUGAAUUGUCUGCAUCGAAACGAAACGAAACGGAGUGGAUUGGAAUGGAAUGGAAUCGGAACGGCAUCGCCAUCGCCGGGCGCAAUGAUGAGCGAAAAAUUGACAUGCAUGUAAUUAGUGACAUAAGGACAUCUGCAUCUGCAUCUGGAUCGCUAUAUGCCAACGACUGCUGUUUGCCUGAUGACCUCCACACACACACACACUCACACACACAUAGACUCACUAAAUGGGAUGAAAUGUACGAAUGCACGUAAUGCCAAGGCUUAUGGCCAAAGAGCUGCAACCGCACUGUGGCGUAGCGCAUAUCAAUAUUUAAGCGAAAAUGAUGACAGUUACAACAACAACAACAGCAGCAGCGGCAACAACAACAACAACAACAAAGGCGAGACAAAAACCAGCCGCCGCCAUGUCCAACUGUCCAAUGGACCACGAAACCAACAACUCAGCCCAGUUCGCCUGUCUCGUCAGCAUCCGCGCUCGACGUCGACGUCGACGUCUCCGUCUCCGUCUCCGUCGCCGUCACUUGUCACAUUCACGUUGACUCUUCUGACACGUCGACAAAUUGUCAACAAGGCUGCCGCAGCGUUUACCCCAUGAAAGAAAACCAAAGCAGAAAAAAGCAACAACAACGACAGCAACAAAAUGAAAAUGAAAGAAAACUCGUGGAAAAAAAAUAGUGGGAGAAAAUUCAGUUUCGGGCAAAGGUGCAGGGGGUAGAGUAGGGUAGCGAGCGGAGGGUGCUACGACCAAAAAUGGUCAUUCACCAGAGGUCGUCCUCUAUUAGCUGCAGCUCCAACCAGCAUUUGCACGCCGGAU